UACGAAGGGGGCUAGCGUUGCUCGGAAUUACUGGGCGUAAAGAGCGUGUAGGCGGCUCGAUAAGUCUGCUGUGAAAGUCCAGGGCUCAACCCUGGAAGGCCGGUGGAAACUGUCGGGCUAGAGUCCGGAAGAGGCGAGUGGAAUUCCCGGUGUAGCGGUGAAAUGCGCAGAUAUCGGGAGGAACACCGGUGGCGAAGGCGGUUCUCUGGGCCUUACCUGACGCUGAGGAGCCGAAAGCGUGGGGAGCGAACAGG
rnacentral:rRNA from 1 species